rnacentral:rRNA from 1 species
GACGAACGCUGGCGGCGUGCCUAAUACAUGCAAGUCGGACGCAGUUGCGCACGGGUGAGUAAAGCGUAGGUAACUACAUCUUAGAGGGGGAUAACUAAUGGAAACGAUAGCUAAUACCGCAUACUAGUAGAUGGACCUGCGUUGUAUUAGCUAGUAGGUUGGGUAAUGGCCUACCUAGGAAACCAUACAUACCCGACCUGAGAGGGGUAUCGGCCCAACUUGGACUGAGAGAAGGGCCAAGAGCCUUCGGGAGGCAGGCGUUGGGAAUCUUCGGGAAUGGGGGGAACGCUGACCGAGGAACGCCGAGGUAGGGAAGGAGGUUUUCGGAGCGUAAAGGUCUUUUUGUAAGGAAGCGGUACUUAACCAGAAAGGGACGGCUAACUACGUGCCAGCAGCCGCGGUAAUUC